GGUACACCUGGCGCUAAAGGACCCACAGGCUCUCCUGGAACCUCUGGCCCUCCUGGCUUAGCAGGGCCCCCUGGGUCUCCUGGGCCUCAGGGCAGCACUGGACCUCAGGGAAUUCGAGGACAACUGGGUGAUCCAGGAGUUCCAGGUUUCAAAGGAGAAGCUGGCCCAAAAGGAGAACCAGGGCCACAUGGUAUUCAGGGUCCUAUUGGUCCACCUGGAGAAGAAGGCAAAAGAGGUCCUCGAGGGGACCCAGGCACAGUUGGUCCUCCAACCAAUGGGAGAAAGGGUAA
rnacentral:lncRNA from 1 species